CUAGGGAGUGGGAGAGGUAGACGGUACUCGGUAGGAAGGGGUAAAAUCCUUUGAUCUAUUGAUGACCACCUGUGGCGAAGGCGGUCUACCAGAACACGUUCGACGGUGAGGGAUGAAAGCUGGGGGAGCAAACCGGAUUAGAUACCCGGGUAGUCCCAGCUGUAAACUAUGCAAACUCAGUGAUGCAUUGGCUUGUGGCCAAUGCAGUGCUGCAGGGAAGCCGUUAAGUUUGCCGCCUGGGAAGUACGUACGCAAGUAUGAAACUUAAAGGAAUUGGCGGGGGAGCACCACAAGGGGUGAAGCCUGCGGUUCAAUUGGAGUCAACGCCUGAAACCUUACCCGGAGAGACAGCAGAAUGAAGGUCAAGCUGAAGACUUUACCAGACAAGCUGAGAGGUGGUGCAUGGCCGUCGCCAGCUCGUGCCGUGAGAUGUCCUGUUAAGUCAGGUAACGAGCGAGAUCCCUGCCUCUAGUUGCCACUAUUACACCCUGGUGUAGUAGGGCGAAUUAGGGGGACCGCCGCAGUUAAUGCGGAGGAAGGAAGGGGCCACGGCAGGUCAGUAUGCCCCGAAACUCUGGGGCCACACGCGGGCUGCAAUGGUAGCGACAAU
rnacentral:rRNA from 1 species